AAUAUGGCUGCUGAAAUUAAUAUGGCAUGGGACUUAUGUCUGCUAGAAUUACCAUAUUAAUUUCAGCAGCCAUAUUAA
rfam:Dictyostelium discoideum AX4 chromosome 5, whole genome shotgun sequence.